rnacentral:rRNA from 1 species
AUAAUAUAAGAUUUAACCUGCCCACUGAGUAUUUAAAGGGCCGCGGUAUUUUGACCGUGCAAAGGUAGCAUAAUAAUUAGUUUUUUGAUUGAAAGCUGGAAUGAAUGGUUGGACGAGAAAAUAGCUGUCUCUUAUUAAUUUAUAUAAAAUUUUAUUUUUAAGUUAAAAAGCUUAAAUUUUUUUAAAAGACGAGAAGACCCUAUAGAGUUUUAUAUAUUAUGGGAAUUACAAUUUUAAGAAUUAAAUUUUUGAUUUUUGUGGUUUAUUUUAUUGGGGCGAUAAAAAGAUUGAUUAAACUCUUUUUUUAUUUAUACAUUUAUUUAUGAAUAUUUGAUCCAUUUUUUAUGAUUAUAAGAAUAAAUUACCUUAGGGAUAACAGCGUAAUCUUUUUUGAGAGUUCUUAUCGAAAUAAGGGAUUGCGACCUCGAUGUUGGAUUAAAGUUAAUUUUUGGUGUAGGAGCUAUAAAAUUGAGUCUGUUCGACUUUUAAAACUUUACAUGAUCUGAGUUUAAACCGGUGUGAGCCAGGUUGGUUUCUAUCUUUAUAAAGAUAAAAUAUUUUAGUACGAAAGGACCAA